AUAAUUGUAAAUUAAUCGUUUUUAUGCACUACAUAAAAGCCAUUCUGAUGUUUAUGCGCCGAAUGAAAGGUAUUCCAGAGUAAUUGGCGGUUCAUUACACUGUGGUGACCACUGAUAAAUAAGGGACUAAACUGAAGGAUAGUGAGUGUAUUUUUAGUAUUGGGACAGUAAAACCAAAAAAAAAGAUGAAAACUGGGCUUUAUAUUACGUAGUUCUGAAAUUUCAGACAGCACAGAGGUGUUUGUAUCGGAGCUCUUCACAUGUCCUUCUUUAUUGUGCUCUAGAACAUGCUGCUUAGGAAGGUUGCUCAGCAGGAGGUUGAGACGCAGCCAAUAUUUCUAAUAUGUUUACACGAAUUCAAGACCUCAUCACUACAGCGUCUGCUCACAUUUGACGAGCUCAACCGAUACAACACAUUAGGGAUGUGUAUGUGUGGAUUUGCGACCAGCCUCUUGUUGAAGAAGACAAAAGCGCACGAAAGAGAGAGAGAGAGAGAAAAAGAGAGAGAAAGCGCAGGACAGUGAAGAGUUAACCAUUACCGCUGUCUUCGGGGAGAUGGUGAUGUAAACCCUAAACCAUGUGACACUUUAAUAAAUCAUAGCGCCGACAGAAACAAACACACACUCUUGCUCCAUCGACAGCCGAACAAAACACGCUUCUCCACAUCCUAAAAAGCAACAACGCCUGAAUUAGAAAUAAAGCGCAGGUCGAGGAUGUGCUGUCUGCCGGUCGAGCAGACUUUAGGCGCGUUCGCGGACUCGGUGUGCGCUCACGGGUGCGCGCCGCUGCCGUUCGCGCACCGACUGCGCUGGAUUGGAGACCAGCUGGAGAAACGAUGGGCUGCAAACGACAAAAGCACCAGCGAUGGAGAACGAAGCGCCGGGGAAAACAUCAUCAAACGCUUCCAAAUAGUGUGCACGGUCAUUCAGGUGACGCUGCUGGUGUUUUUAGUCAAAAAGCGACACCUGUAGGCGAGACGAGGCUCUGCUGAGCUACAGCAACAGAUGAAUCUUCAGAUUCUCCUGUGGACAAUCAGCUCCAGAUUUCCCGGAGAGGAGAACGCGCCGCUCACGUCUGCACCUCUAUAGAAACCUGCUCUUCAGAGUUUCUCCAUGUUUUCUCAUCCGUGUGUAUCGCAGUAGUGUUGUAAUGGAAACACGCACACACCAGACGCGUCUGCGCUGUACAUUAGCCUACAAGCGUGCCGAUCACUUUCAUCCUCCAAGUCUUCUCCAUUACCGAGCCCAUGCUAUUUGGCGCUCGUCUGUUUAAGGUCAGUGCAGUCAAAUCCGCCGGUGUCCCACGGGGGGAAACCUUUCAAAAUAAAACACUGAUGUCAUCGUCCCAUGGCGAUGUUUGCAAGGAAAUAUUUUCUACCACUAUGGCAAUAGGAGCCUUGCCUCAACUUUUAAAAGUCCUCACAGUUGAGUUUUUCUUGUUGCUGGUAAAAGUUGAGAGGGUGCUUUGGAUAUGCAAAAGCUAUAAACGAAUAAAAAAAAAUACGAUCAAUCUUCAGAGGAGAGCCCUCAAAGAAAGAAACAAAAAAACAAAAAACACUGCAACCAAAACCUCUCCUCUGCAAAAUGCACUGUAACAUUUAGUUAUAAGCUACUGUAAAAGUGACUAUGCCAUUCGAUAUAUUAUCUAAGCUGUGAUUUUGUUUGUUGUUGUUUUUUAAAUGAUAUAUUUAUUACUCCAAUCUCUUUGACACUGUACUCUACUCUAUGGAAAGCAUAUUUAUAAGACUGUAGAAUUAUUCGAAGUGUAUUUGAACUUGACGUUUACAUCGAAUGAAGACAAAUCCUUUUUUAGACUUUUUAUAUAAAGGGCUUCUGGCUUGAAUGUUUGUGUUCAGUGUUAAUAUAGAAAUGUGGCACGAAUGAGAUUUCAUGCAAAAAAAAAGGGCAUGCUACUGAUGUUUACAUAAGCUAUGAUCUUUUUUAUAGGUUACGUUACUUACACGUGUUUUAAACAUGUUCGACCUCGGCUAUUUUGAUAUUGUGAAUUUUGUCAUUUAUGAAAAUAAAAAGCUUUAAAUAAUA